rnacentral:rRNA from 1 species
UACGGAGGAUGCGAGCGUUAUCCGGAUUAUUGGGUUAAGGGUGCGUAGGCGGAAUGGUAAGUCGGUGGUGAAAUCCCUGCAGCUCAACUGUAGUUGUGCCAUUGAUACUGUCAUUCUUGAGUACAGAUGAGGUAGGCGGAAUGAGUAGUGUAGCGGUGAAAUGCAUAGAUAUUACUCAGAACACCAAUUGCGAAGGCAGCUUACUAAACUGACACUGACGCUGAAGCACGAAAGCGUGGUAUCAAACAGG